GAUGAACGCUAGCGGAGGCUUAACACAUGCAAGGUCGAGGGGCAGCAUAGGGUAGCAAUACUCUGAUGGCGACCGGCAAACGGGUGAGUAACGCGUAUGCAACCUACCCUGUACAGGGGGAUAACCCGGAGAAAUUCGGACUAAUAUCCCGUAAUAAUAUCCGGAGGCAUCUUUGGAUAUUUAAAGUUCCGACGGUACGGGAUGGGCAUGCGUAACACUAGCUGGUUGGUAAGGUAACGGCUUACCAAGGCUAUGAUGUUUAGGGGUCCUGAGAGGGUGGUCCCCCACACUGGUACUGAGACACGGACCAGACUCCUACGGGAGGCAGCAGUGAGGAAUAUUGGUCAAUGGGCGCAAGCCUGAACCAGCCAUCCCGCGUGCAGGAAGACGGCCCUAUGGGUUGUAAACUGCUUUUCCAGGGAGAGAAACUUACGCACGUGUUGCGUGACUGACGGUACCCUGGGAAUAAGCAUCGGCUAACUCCGUG
rnacentral:rRNA from 1 species